rnacentral:lncRNA from 1 species
AGCUCGAGUAUUUAUAACGCCGCGUUUGUCACUUCGAAGUUAUAACAAAGUUCAGACGAUCAUACAGAAAACAUCAACAUUGUUGAAGAAUUUUUAAACUUGGAAAUAAUGGCUUUCUCAACUGUAAGUAUAUACUGUUGCUAUAUAUAUUCUCGUACACUGUUAUAGUAUAAUUAUAGGUAGGUUUUGUAAGGUAUAGGUAGGUUCGAGGGUAGGUUUAUAUUUUAUACUAAGGCAAAUCAGCACGUACAUGGUUGUCAACCAUGCAGCUUGUAUAGCAAUAUGAAUUGUAUUUUGUCAUUGGAAACAAAGUAAUAUUGAUGAAAUUGACAAAUAUAUACUCUAAUAUUCUUGCUUCAAUAUUGACAUAUGAUAUUAACAUGCAGCUUGUAAGGUGAACAGCACCUAACCAUCACCGCUCUGGGAAACAUUUCUAUAACAUCAAUACGAAUAUAAUAUCAGUACGAUAAAAUGGUAUCUUACCUUUUAUAGUUUGUCAGGAUUUCAUCGUUCUUGUUUCGUAUUUUUCGUAGCAUAUCUACAGUAAAACGAAAGGAAUUUAAAGAUUUUUGAAACAAAAAAACUAAAAGUACACUAAUUCUUAAGAGUAAGAACCAUAUUCCUUGUCAAGUAUAUUGGUCCAGUGUCCGAGGCUAGUUCUGACGUGCAUUUGAGGACAAUUACAUCGCAAUUGAUCGUGUGUAUAUUUCGUUGAACUAACGUACAUAUAUUUGCUCAAUUUCUUUAGACAAAGGGUACUACAGAAUACAAUAUUGAAACAAAUACCGCUAAUAAAACUAAUCUCAUCAUGCGAAACAAUGUCGUGAAAUCCGACGGAGACGACGCUGCCGAUCCAGCA